rnacentral:rRNA from 1 species
UCCGCAGGCUGUUGUUUAAGUCAGAGGUGAAAGUUUGCAGCUCAACUGUAAAAUUGCCUUUGAUACUGGAUAACUUGAGUAAUAAUGAAGUGGUUAGAAUAUGUAGUGUAGCGGUGAAAUGCAUAGAUAUUACAUAGAAUACCGAUUGCGAGGGCAGAUCACUAAUUAUAUACUGACGCUGAGGGACGAAAGCGUGGGGAGCGAACA